GGCUCAGGUCUCUAGCUGGCAGCUUUGCGGUGAGCCUGGGACAGUGGGGAAGGAGGCAUUCUACCCAGGUUUGCAAAGCUGACUUGCCUCAGAGACCCCGACUGCCGACCGCCUUCCUCUGGACUUCUACUUGCAGGCCCUGGCGACAUAAUGGCCAACACAACAGUCACAUGGUCUGUUCCCAUGGCAUUUUCUUUCUAGACACAAUCAAGGCCUGAAAAGACGAUGAGAAUGCAGAUCUGGAAAUUCUGGCUGUAAAAUACCCCACAGAAAGGUGAACGAAGAAGGAACCACAAAUAAAGUCACCGCCACUGAGUGUUUACUGUGUGUUAUGGGUUGAACUGUGCCCACCCCCAAAAACCCAUGUGUUCCAGUCCUAACCCCCAGAGUGUGCCCUUAUUUGGAAAUAAGGUUGGUGCAGACACAAUUAGUUAAGCUGAGGUCAUAAGGAGCAGAGUGGGCCCCUUAUCCAAUACGACUGGUGUCCUCACGAAAAGGGAAAAUUUGAACACAGACACACUCAGGGAGAACACCGUGUGAAGAGUGGAGUCACGCUGCCCCAAACCAAGGACCUACCAGAAGCUCCGAGAGAGGCCUGGAACAGAUCCUUCUCUGGAGCUUUCAGAGGGAGCACAACCCUGACGACACCUGGAUCUUGGACUUCCGGCCUCCAGAACUGUGAGACAACAAAUUCCUGUUGUUUCAGCCUCUCAGUUCAUGGUCCUCUGUUACAGCAGCCCUGGCAAAUGCAUAUGAUAUGUAAUAGGUGCUAUGCUAACUGAUUUACAUCCACUGUCUCAUUUAACCCUCGGGACAACCCAUCAAUAGGUACCAUGGUCCGUUUUAUGGAAGAAUAAAUUAAACGAGAGGAAGGCCCCAGAAGAUGUGUUCCAUUUUCAAAGUCGUGGGAGCCAAGUAAAACCUCCUUCGUUGUCAUGGGCUAAUGGGCUAUAGAGCAGCUGCAGACCUGAUCCUGAGACACCGUGUCAGGGC
rnacentral:lncRNA from 1 species